AUGAUCUACACCGACUGUACUUCCACUGCACUACAAGUCGAGUACGGGUCACUCGGAAAGGCAUCAAGGAAUAGCGACGUGUUAAGCUACGGAAUUAUGCUCCCUGAAGCCUUCACUGAAAGGAGACCCAUAGACCCUAUAUUUGGCGCACAACUAACACUUAGGCAGUGGGUUUAUUCAUCGGGCAUUUCCUGCAGAACUUGUCCAAGUUGUAAAUGGUCAGCUGCUGCAACGUUCCUCUCUUCCUUGCUGCAGCCGGGACGGUUGUUUUCCAGCGUCGAUCUUCGAAUUGGGAUUGAUCUGCUCUAG
rnacentral:rRNA from 1 species